GAAUCCGAGGAGCGCUGCAGCUUUGAUAUUUUCAAUGUGAGGCUCGGACUGUAAACGGCGCUCACCCAUG
rnacentral:ncRNA from 2 species